AGUGAACGCUGGCGGUAGGCCUAACACAUGCAAGUCGAACGGCAGCACAGUAAGAGCUUGCUCUUACGGGUGGCGAGUGGCGGACGGGUGAGGAAUACAUCGGAAUCUACUUUUUCGUGGGGGAUAACGUAGGGAAACUUACGCUAAUACCGCAUACGACCUACGGGUGAAAGCAGGGGAUCUUCGGACCUUGCGCGAUUGAAUGAGCCGAUGUCGGAUUAGCUAGUUGGCGGGGUAAAGGCCCACCAAGGCGACGAGCCGUAGCUGGUCUGAGAGGAUGAUCAGCCACACUGGAACUGAGACACGGUCCAGACUCCUACGGGAGGCAGCAGUGGGGAAUAUUGGACAAUGGGCGCAAGCCUGAUCCAGCCAUACCGCGUGAGUGAAGAAGGCCUUCGGGUUGUAAAGCCCUUUUGUUGGGAAAGAAAAGCAGCAGGUUAAUACCCCGCUGUUCUGACGGUACCCAAAGAAUAAGCACCGGCUAACUUCGUG
rnacentral:rRNA from 1 species